ACGUAAUUCUCUCAUUUCCUGUUCCUUCUCCACAAAUCUCUCUUUUAGUUAUUAGCCACAUCCACUCCUUAUCUCCCCACACAAAACUCAAGGUCUAUAUCUUUAGAAAAGAGGGAAUGACAAUUUUACCAUGUAAUUUGAGUAUGUACAUGAAUGGAAAAAUUGAAUGAAGAGUAAAGUUAUCAGAUAAGUUGUUUACAUUAGCAUAUAAGAAGUAACAUUUUUAUUUUCUUAUUGACGACACAUUAUGUACAUUCGUUAGGAUCAUAUAAUAAUCUUUAAUGAGAUUAUUUCAAUAUUAUUUUAGUUCUAAAAUAUUAUAGGAU